CCUACGGGAGGCUGCAGUGGGGAAUAUUGGACAAUGGGCGAAAGCCUGAUCCAGCAAUGCCGCGUGAGUGAUGAAGGCCUUAGGGUUGUAAAGCUCUUUUACCAGGGAUGAUAAUGACAGUACCUGGAGAAUAAGCUCCGGCUAACUCCGUGCCAGCAGCCGCGGUAAUACGGAGGGAGCUAGCGUUGUUCGGAAUUACUGGGCGUAAAGCGCACGUAGGCGGUUUUUCAAGUAAGGGGUGAAAGCCCGGAGCUCAACUACGGAAUUGCCUGUGAAACUGGAUGACUUGAAUCAUGGAGAGGUCAGUGGAAUUCCGAGUGUAGAGGGGAAAUUCGUAGAUAUUCGGAAGAACACCAGUGGCGAAGGCGACUGACUGGACAAGUAUUGACGCUGAGGUGCGAAAGCGUGGGGAGCAAACAGGAUUAGAUACCCCAGUAGUC
rnacentral:rRNA from 1 species